rnacentral:piRNA from 1 species
UGAAUAGUCUUAGCACUUUGA